rnacentral:misc_RNA from 1 species
GGCGUCACGCAUCGUGUCGCCCACCCAACCYGUACCUUCCAAGGUYAGGUUUGUGGUGGGCGGAUAUUGGCCCCCCGUGCAUGUUCGUGCAUGGCCGGCCUAAAAAAGGAGGUCCCCAACGAYGGACAUCACGACAAGUGGUGGUUGUUAAACCGUUGCGUCCUGUUGUGCUUGCCAUCGUCGUCGCGGGUUGGCUUUCGUGACCCUAAAGUGUUGAUCGRCACUUCGA